UACGAAGGGGGCUAGCGUUGCUCGGAAUCACUGGGCGUAAAGCGCACGUAGGCGGAUUGUUAAGUCAGGGGUGAAAUCCCACGGCCCAACCGUGGAAGUGCCUCUGAUACUGCGGGCCUAGAGGGGGACAGGGGCAUGCGGAACUUCCGGUGGAGCGGUGAAAUGCGUAGAUAUCGUAAGGAAGACCAGUGGCGAAGGCGGGUCUCUGGACAGUUCCUGACGCUGAGGCACGAAGGUCAGGGGGAGCAAACGGG
rnacentral:rRNA from 1 species